UACGAAGGGGGCUAGCGUUGUUCGGAUUUACUGGGCGUAAAGCGCACGUAGGCGGAUCGUUAAGUCGGGGGUGAAAUCCUGGAGCUCAACUCCAGAACUGCCUUCGAUACUGGCGAUCUUGAGUCCGGAAGAGGUGAGUGGAACUCCUAGUGUAGAGGUGGAAUUCGUAGAUAUUAGGAAGAACACCAGUGGCGAAGGCGGCUCACUGGUCCGGUACUGACGCUGAGGUGCGAAAGCGUGGGGAGCAACAGGGAGUUAAAGAAA
rnacentral:rRNA from 1 species